UUUUUUAAUGCUGGUAUCUCAUAAAACUAACCAUAAGAAUACAUGAUUCUUCUUUUUGUUGUUUUAUAAUUUUCUAAAUUGAAACCAAAAAAAAAUCCAGGAAAAUGCUGAUAUUUUUUAUUUCACCAGUGAAAAUCCUAAAUAGUGAAUAUCAAUGUAAAAAUAUCAGUUUUCAUUUGUUUUUAAUAAAUUUAGUAAAAGUGAGUGCUGUAUUUAUUCUCAAAUGUUUUUUUUUUUUUUUUUAUCAAGUAACAUUUUGUUGAAACUGAAAACUAAUGACAAACAUUAAUAGUUUAUAUGGUAUCUUUAGUGAGUCGUAGAUUGAUCUUAUUUUACUGUCAAAUCUGAUAGUUUUGUCUGUCCAAUAAGUCAGCAUGCUUUUUUCUAUGAUAUUAUUAUAUGCUGACUUGUUUGACAGACAAUGCUAAAAAUCUUAUGAUUACUUAAUUGUAAAAAAAGAAUGGCACAUAUUAGAUAUUUGAUCAUGAAAAAUGGGUAAAGUUUGAGUACUAUACAUUUAGACCUACAGUCGAGGUUGCAUACAUUACCAUUUGCCAUUUCAGAAUCUAAUGCAUUUUGGGUAAUAUUUUCAAACAUGUACAUCAAAACACUGUGAUUGGCUAAUGUUCAACCAAUGAAAUUCCAUAUUAUUUUCAUUCUGGUGCACAAACAAUUACCCACAAUCCUUGAGAUUCUGAAAUGGCGAAUUGAAGUAGAAGAGUUUUAAGAUUUUUGUUGUGAUUAUAUAAGUUAUGAAUGAGAUAUUGGUUUGUCAUUUGAUAAUAAUUAUGAUCUUGUUGAGAAUUUAUCCAAUGUUAAUUGUUUUUUGAAGAUAUAUCAUUAUAUGUCAUUUAUUAUUGUUGGUUAUGUUUAGUAAUCAUGUCAUGCUUGAGUUGUUUUACCCAGAAUUCCCUUUGAAAAAAAGUCAGCUGAAUUGAUUUUUCUCAGUUUUCUGCUUUUAAGAUUGACAAGAACUGGGACCUUUGAUCAAGUUAGUUUUAAAGCAAAAUAAGUCAUAGUCUCAUUCCAUAUUAGGCCUAAGUCAGUUAUUCAAGUACUAGAGGCAACAGAAUGCUAAACACUUAAAAAAAAGAAAAAUUUAAUAAAAAAAAAACAGGGGUGCUCAGAAACAGCGAUCAUUUUCUGCUUUUAUAGUGACAUCUGUCGUGUUUAUCUUUGCAAGUUAAAAUCACACAAUAAAAUUAAGAUUUCACUAAACAAAUAUAUACAAUUUUACAAAUGUUUGUAAAUAAAAAAAGAGCCUGAAGACUCUUAAUAAAACAAUUUAAAAUACUAAGGAAAAAAAUGUUCUUGUAGCCUCAUGUCUUUAUAAUUUUUUGAAACUUUAAUAAAAUAGCAUUUAAAGGAUUACAAUGAAGUUAUUCUUUGCUAUUCUUAAAGUGCAGAAAACUGGGAAAACAUCUGUCUUGCAAAACCUGCUUUUUCGAUUGUUUUAUAUCAAUGUUUUGUUUGUUUUCCAUAAUCGUAAUCAUGCUUUUACAUAUCAUUGAUUUCAAAUUUUACAGAUAUACCUCUGAAAUUUUUAUGUUAUUUGUCAACAAUUUUAAAACUUUUUUUCUUAUUUAUUUUAAAGUCUGUGUACAUUCCACAGGAUUUUGUUUAUUGUUUGUAAAUAAGGAUUAUAAGGAAACAUUGGAUAUGCAAGAAAAAACUAUUGUUGUGCAGUGCAAAUAAAUAAAUAAAAAACUGAA
rnacentral:lncRNA from 1 species